UACGUAGGGUGCAAGCGUUGUCCGGAAUUAUUGGGCGUAAAGAGCUCGUAAGCGGCUUGUCGCGUCGACCGUGAAAACUUGGGGCUCAACCCCAAGCCUGCGGUCGAUACGGGCAGGCUAGAGUUCGGUAGGGGAGACUGGAAUUCCUGGUGUAGCGGUGAAAUGCGCAGAUAUCAGGAGGAACACCGGUGGCGAAGGCGGGUCUCUGGGCCGAUACUGACGCUGAGGAGCGAAAGCGUGGGGAGCGAACAGG
rnacentral:rRNA from 1 species